CUGCUUUCAGAGGAGUGGCUGGUAGACUGAUGGCUCUUUUAUUAGUGAAGUUCAGAUAAGCCUGUGAUCCACUCCACGGCAACCCAAGGGAGUGGUCAAGUCACACAGAACUCAGUGUCACCCCCUGACAGUUUCCUCACCACAGUCAGAAUGGCACUUGUGACAGACACUGGAGUUUCUCUUCAAUCUAAUUGAGGUUCCAUUAACUUAACUAGGUUAACCAUAUUUGUUUUCUAUUAUGACCAACCUCCAGGCCAGAAUUUCAGUAAUUAUCAUAUACUGUUAACGUUUUUUUCACGAAUGCUUUCCGGUUGCCACUGUCUUUCAGCAAUUGGGCAAGUCUUCCAUCUGUGUGACAAAAAAAUAAUAAAAAAGGAUACAAUCAAACUGCAUCCAUUGAUUGGCAGAUACGUUCUAGCUGCUAAAUUAGCUACUGGGGUCCUCCAGAUAAGCCCCUGCAUUCUGGAGCUUGCCCUGCAGUGGGUGACAUGGACAUGUUCAACAGAACCAUGUAAUGGCUGUGGCCAUGUGCCGGUAGAUUCCAAGUGCUGCGUUAUCACCCAUGAGGAACAACUGGACAUUCGUGGAACCAUUACUGCAAGAGGAAAGGGCUAGAGUGAAUCCAAAUUUCAACUGGAGAUAGGCCAUGGAAAGAGAGAGGAAGAAAGAUAUCUUUUGCAAGAAGAAAGGUAGUGACUUGAACACAUUUGGAAAAGUGCAUUUAUUCAACAAGAUCCACCAGUGCAGGAAGAAGAGGGAGAGAGAGAUGAUGUCAGACCUGAAUGUCCCAAAUAGAAAAAUUGAAAAGGGAAACUUUGUUAUCAGCUAGAUUGACUUAAAAAAAAAUUUGGGUCCAAAUAUGGAAAACAGAUGAGUAAGGGCAAAAUGAGACACCCAGAUAAUAACUGGGAGGCUGUUAUAGUGAUCCAGUUGAAAAACAGGGAGGAUAAACUAAUUUUGGGAUGAUGGGAUGAAGAAAAUAGAAAAAAAGAAUUUACAAUACACAAGAUUCCAACAAGGAGGAUGAAGAGGAUUUAAAUGCUAAGGAUGACAUCCAGAGUACAGACUGACCCAAAUGUCUAGAUGGUGGCUCUGCUGGGCAAGCUAAAGAAAUGGUGAAGUCAACUCAGGACACGCUGACUCUGAGAGAUUCAAGGGACAAUUCAUGCAAACCGUGGGUUGGCAGGUGCACAUCUAACCUGGGGAUAAGGAUGUAAUAUAAGAUAAAGCUUCAUAAUUCAUAACGAUGAAUGAAAUUAUCAAGGUCUAAAAAACAAAUUAUAUUACCUAGGAAGAUUUGAUUGGUAGAUGCACUUAUUAUUUAUAGGUAGAUGCACUUAUUAUUCAAGCACAUACACUGCAGUGUUCAGGAAAGAAUGGCUUUAAGUAUUUUCUAUGAGACAAAUGUAUUAGUUUGCAAGAGGUUUUAGACUAGUAGUAUUUUUUUUCUAAAAACAUAACUUCAGAAAUACUUAAUUUUACUUAUUCGUUUACUAGAAUAAAUGAUAUACUAGUUAUGAGAAUGUAGCAAGAGUCAGGUAGCUCUCAAUUCCAUUCCCUGAAAGUCAGAAAAAUACAUGGAAAUAUUGGUGUUAGCUGAUUAAUUGCUUUACCGCGACCCAUGUAACAAUAGUUUGGUGUCAUUGGGUGUAAAACUGUAGACACAUAAACAGUGAAUCAUAAAGAGAACAGAAGGCAUAUUUGGGACUCAACCCAUGUGUCUGACUUUGCAUUACCUUAGAGCUUCUAAUAAAGUUUAUAUCUUUAAAUAAACCAAUUACAUAGA